UACAGAGGUCUCAAGCGUUUGUUCGGAUUCAUUGGGCGUAAAGGGUGUGUAGGUGGCGCCGUUAGUCGGGUGUGAAAUUUCGGAGCUUAACUCCGAAACUGCAUUCGAUACUGCGGUGCUUGAGGACUGGAGAGGAGACUGGAAUUCAUGGUGUAGCAGUGAAAUGCGUAGAGAUCAUGAGGAAGACCAGUGGCGAAGGCGGGUCUCUGGACAGUUCCUGACACUGAGACACGAAGGCCAGGGGAGCAAACGGG
rnacentral:rRNA from 1 species